GCCUUAGAAACCGAAUUGGCUAGGUGCCUGACUUCCAAUCAGGAUUUUGCGGGUUCAAGUCCCGUCUAAGGCUCC
rnacentral:tRNA from 2 species